rnacentral:lncRNA from 1 species
CCGGAUUCUUCUUAGCCAGUCGGUCACCGAGGUAUAGUACAGAAGGCACUUUUUAGGUCAAGUUGCCUAACAUCCCAAUUGAAAUGCACUGUAAUGGCUAAUUGCUUUUAUUCUUUUGAUUGAAUCAUCUACUUUAUACAUGGUUUUGAAAGGGCAUUUAGGCUUGUGUUAAUAGGCUAAGGUUAGCAACAUGUUUGUGUUUUCUCUC